CCUACGGGUGGCAGCAGUGGGGAAUAUUGCGCAAUGGGCGAAAGCCUGACGCAGCGACGCCGCGUGAGGGAUGAAGGUCUUCGGAUCGUAAACCUCUGUCAGCAGGGAAGAACGGUCACUGUGCUAAUCAGCAGUGAAUUGACGGUACCUGCAAAGGAAGCACCGGCUAACUCCGUGCCAGCAGCCGCGGUAAUACGGAGGGUGCGCGCGUUAAUCGGAAUUACUGGGCGUAAAGCGGUCGUAGGCGGUAUGUCAAGUCAAGGGGGAAAUCCCCGCGCUCAACGUGGGAACUGCCUUUGAAACUGGCAAACUGGAGUGUGGGAGAGGAUAGUGGAAUUCCAGGUGUAGGAGUGAAAUCCGUAGAUAUCUGGAGGAACAUCAGUGGCGAAGGCGACUAUCUGGCACAUAACUGACGCUGAGGAGCGAAAGCGUGGGUAGCAAACAGGAUUAGAUACCCGUGUAGUC
rnacentral:rRNA from 1 species